rnacentral:rRNA from 1 species
UACGGGGGGAGCAAGCGUUGUUCGGAUUUACUGGGCGUAAAGGGCGCGUAGGCGGCCACCGCAAGUCGGUUGUGAAAUCUCUGGGCUUAACCCAGAAAGGUCAACCGAUACUGCGGGGCUAGAGUGCAGAAGGGGCAACUGGAAUUCUCGGUGUAGCGGUGAAAUGCGUAGAUAUCAGGAGGAACACCGGUGGCGAAGGCGGUUCUCUGGGCCUUACCUGACGCUGAGGAGCGAAAGCGUGGGGAGCGAACAGG